AUUCUUUUGCUCCGCUCCAUCCUGCGUGCUUCGGAGCUCUGCCUUGCCAGCCUGCCUGGGCUGCGCUUUGUCCGGCGAUGGCGAGCGAGGGGAAGCCGCUGCCAGGCCCAGGCCAGCCGUUGUCGCUGGAGGUGGAGCGCGUCCAGUUCCUGGAGCAGCCGCCGCUGCUUUGCAACUUGCAACCUGGCUAAUUUCCUGCGUCCUCUGGCACCAGGAAGGAGGACAAUUCGUCUCUUGGGCUGCCGAAGCGACAGCUGUCAGAGAGGCAGAAGCUUCUGGGAGCCGCGGUCUGAAGGUGAGACCUGUGGGAAGGAGACAGGGCAAAGGUGGGUGAGGUACUACAGUGGUAAGAGAGGGCACCAGGAACGACUUUGAAAAGGGGCCUUUUUCACGCUCUUUCAGUACUGUCCUUUCAUUUUCAGCCCCAAUAUACACCACAGUCCAAACACGUCACUCAUUCUCACCCACUACCGCCACCACCUACAAUCACUCCUUUUCCCUCCUCCCUCAAGGCGGAUCAGCCUUCCCUCUGUGGCACAGCGCCUUGGCACGGCGCAGCACCGCUUGGGUCUUCGCCCCCUCCCCCCUCCAUUCCCCAGUGACCCUCGGGAAGCCCCAAAGGAAGUCAUUUGGCAUUCUACUGUUCCCUACUGGCCUCUGGGGUUUGGGAUUAUUUCAUUCGUGACCCAAUUGAUUCAACUGACUUCCCCAAUAGCCAGAGGUAGUUCCCAACCUGGGAACGAGGACGGAGAGGCGAGCAAAGUAGCACGGGCGUUUUGUUAGCUUCGGCACACUGUUUUUUCCUGUGGGGGCUAGGAAAGGAAGCAAACACAGAAACAAAACUUACUAAUUCAGAGUUCUCCGAUGGUUGCCUGCUUCGUUUGCCCGGUUUUCUGGUUAGAGUGAUUUCUCGAGCCCUGGAAGAGGGGCUAGAUGCGUGUGUGGAAUUCUGUGUUGGAGGAGAGAACCGAGUUAAUUGGGUGCUAAGGUGAGGGGGUGAUGUUUCCGUGCAGGGGCUGCUGUGUUGACGCAGGUGGAAGGAGCACAUCUGAGGUUUCUGAGGGAAGGUUGCAAAAUGGUGUCUGGGCAAUAGCAGGGUCGCAGUCCCAAGCCACCUAAGUACAGUGGCAGGUUGGUGUCCACGGUCCUCCACCUCCCCGGCUUCCAGCGAGAGGACUACAGCUAGCAGCGAGACAGCACUAAGAGCUGCGGGCCUAGCAAUGGCUUUGCAUGGCACGGUGGCACCAGUCAUGGUGGGUGGGCCUGAAAGCGGGUCUGACCAGGUUAGAUUUGCCCCCGGGAGACAGAGCUACCCAAGCAUCAGUCGCGAGUUCCCUGGCUAUGGUUCUUUUUUGUUUAUUUGGUUUUUGGUUGUUGUUGCUGCUGCUGUUUUCCUAUCUCAAGAUAGUAUGUCGGCCUAGGCCAGACAAUUAAGAAGGACGUGUAGAUGCUUGGAAUGUUUGCCGCCGGACAGCUCUGUGGAUGCGCCCCGGGCAGGGGCAGAUAAAGCGCCGCAUUUGCCUCCUAGGGCCGCUGGCUGCCUGACUGCGGCUGCCGCAGGCGGAUUAUUUAUUGCGACCGAACAGGGAGCUCGCUGCUGCCACGCUGUGGCCGUCGCCGGGACCGGCGCCAGCAGCGUCCCGCCUCUUUGAGCCUGGCGCGACUGCUGUACGGGCCCCUCAGAAUCCCCAGAAGCAGGGGAAGGGGGGCACAAAAGGGGACCUGAGGGGCAGUCUCCAAGGGUUUAUUUGGCUGUGAAAUCUUCUUGCUUCGGCUACCCAUGACAGAAAGCUCAGCCGCUGGAAUAGAUUCGGGUCCUUCCCUCUCCCCUAACCCAGCACCAUGGAGACUGUUUGUACAGGCCGCCUGGCUGGUCAUGGCUGCUUCUGUCCAAACUGCGCGUCCCAAAGGCGUCCUGAGGGCUCACGCCAGUUGGGGAACGCUUUGGCUUUGGGAUUCUGACAUCGGAGAGACCAUUUGUAGUUCCGAGGCCUGCUGACCUGACUGGCCCUGAGGAUUGGCUAUGGCAUGGAAGGCAGCUCCAGGAGAGGGCUGGUAACUGACAGAGGCCCACACCUGUGUGCUUUGGGUUCUGGCCUAGAGAUUUGACUGGAUGGAGGUGGACCUUCUGGGUCUUCCCACACACCUGCAAGCCAGGCUCCAGGCUGGCAGAAGUGGAGGGGCUCAAUGGGCAGCCAGGGAAAGGGCAAAACUGUGUGACCCUACUGCCAUCUUACCCUCUUUGAAGAGAAGAUAAAAGGUAAGUUUUCUGUGUGGCUGUGAGCUAGCAGAGUCCUGCGGUGAUUAUUCUCAUCAUCUCAGGAUGAGGCUCUAUUGAAGGUGUGGAGUUCCUGGUCUCCACUCUGUCAGGACGCGCUCUCUCUCCAUAUAUAUAUUAUACAUAUGUUUAUAUACAUGUAUAUGGAAGAAUAGAUAGAUUGACUGCUAACUUAAAUGCACACUAGCCUGGGCUUACAUGUUAAGAUUUCAACUUAAUAUUUUUUCCACCUUAAUGUUUACAGAAGCUAGAAAUACAUUUUCUGGCUUCUAGGUGAGAAAACAAAUUCUUUUAUUGGCUGAGACAAUUAAGUCUAAAAUUCAGAUCAAACCAUAGCAAUAAUGGUGGCAAGCUGUCAUCAGCUCCAACUCUGUGUGAGACAGAGCUGCGUCAAAGAGAACUGAUAGAUGUGAACAAUUAGCACCUGGGAAAUGGCUACUUUCAUUUCCAACAGUAUUGCUGGAAAUAAUUGUUAUCUGAUUGUUUGUUGUUUAAGAACCAAUAACUCAAACUUAUUUUCUUCAAACAGCCUUUU
rnacentral:lncRNA from 1 species